UUCUCUUCCUCCUCCUCCCCCUCAUCCCUGAAUAAGGUCACUUGACUGAUUCCUGCCUCAGCUGGCUUUGUGUGCCAACAGACAAGUCACAGGGAUUCUGGUGAGCUCAGAGAGCUGGUUGGGAAAAGCAUUUCUGCCCUGUGGGCUCCUGGCAGGCAGCAGAAGCCUGACUAAAGCUUCCAAACUCUUGUCAUUAGUGUUAUUGAUGAGCACUACUCACUCCUUGCUCGUCACUGACACUCUAAAUAACAGCUUACAGGACUGUGUUUGAAAACAAGAAAUGUGAUGUUUGAAGAUAAAUGUUUUGCUGUCUCCUUCUGCUUUAGGAGGGUGAGAUCGGGCCGAACAGUUCGGCUGAAAUCAGCGUGUUCUUUAAGCCCCAGGAAGCCCGGGUCUAUAAGCAAACAGUUUACUGUGAUAUCUCAGGUACAGCUCCUUCCCCUGCCUGUCACUGCAGCGAAGGUGAGGUGCAAACACUCCCCCAGAUCACUGGGCUCCUGUGUAGCUGCUGGCAAGGGUCCGUGGUCAGCAGGACAGUGCUGGUACAUCCCCAGUCCCUGCAGCUUCCAGGGGAUCUCCUCUCUCUGGAAUUUUCCCCUCUCAGCUGUUGAGAAUGCUGCCUGUAUUUAGUGAGCUCCUCCUCCCUUUCGAGAACACUCUCUGAAGUGCACCCAGAAGGAGGAAGGGCAACAUUUCUGGCACUUCCUAAAGUUCCACUACCAAAAUAGGGGUAAAGAGGAAAGGAUGGUCUCUAUGGAUGUACCGUAUCUCCUGAGGGAAGAGAAGGAUCCGUAUCUUUGCCUGGGACGUCAGGAGCUGGUCCCAUGCAGCUCAGAGUCAGGGACUAGCACUAAGGCAGCCUGGAGAAUGCAGGACAGUGGAAGGAAUUGCUGUACUGAAAUAGAAAUCUCUCCCCAGGCUGUGAGAAGAGGCUGCCCCUGGUCCUCACUGGGGAAGGACUCGGGCCCCAGCUCAACUUCUACUUUAAGGAAGUGGACAUCGGGGAGGUUUUUGUCAGCGCAAACAACCGCUUUGAGGCAGUCCUGUUUAACAGUGGGCCUAUUGAGGCUCCCUUCAGCCUCACCCCUCCAAGCACAGCCGUGGGCUCCUGCUUCACCUUCCAGCCCCAGGAGGGCAUCGUGGCACCAAAUGCGCUCCAGGCCAUCCGGAUCUCCUUCUGUACCACCAUCCUGGGGGCCUUUGAGGAAGAAUUCAGCUUCCAUGUGACUAAAGCCCCCAAGCCUGCAAC
rnacentral:lncRNA from 1 species